rnacentral:rRNA from 1 species
GACGAACGCUGGCGGCGUGCUUAACACAUGCAAGUCGAACGGAAAGGCCCUGCUUUUGUGGGGUGCUCGAGUGGCGAACGGGUGAGUAACACGAGAGUAACCUGCCCCUGACUUUGGGAUAACUUCAGGUAACUGGGGCUACUACCGGAUAGGAGCUCCUGCUGCAUGGUGGGGGAUGGAAAGUUUCGGCGGCUGGGGAUGGACUCGCGGCUUAUCAGCUUGUUGGUGUGGUAGUGGCUUACCAAGGCUUUGACGGGUAGCCGGCCUGAGAGGGUGACCGGCCACAUUGGGACUGAGAUACGGCCCAGACUCCUACGGGAGGCAGCAGUGGGGAAUAUUGCACAAUGGGCGGAAGCCUGAUGCAGCAACGCCGCGUGCGGGAUGACGGCCUUCGGGUUGUAAACCGCUUUCGCAUGUGACGAAGCGUGAGUGACGGUAAUGGGUAAAGAAGCACCGGCUAACUACGUG